rnacentral:rRNA from 1 species
GCUUGUUGGAGAGGUAACGGCUCACCAAGGCAUCGACGGGUAGCWNGUCUGAGAGGAUGAUCAGCCACACUGGAACUGAGACACGGUCCAGACUCUACGGGAGGCAGCAGUGGGGAAUCUUGCACAAUGGGCGAAAGCCUGAUGCAGCGAUGCCGCGUGCGGGAAGAAGGCCCUAGGGUUGUAAACCGCUUUCAGGAGGGAAGAAAAUGACGGUACCUCCAGAAGAAGGUGCGGCCAACUACGUGCCAGCAGCCGCGGUGACACGUAGGCACCAAGCGUUAUCCGGAUUUAUUGGGCGUAAAGAGCUCGUAGGCGGUUUGGUAAGUCGGGUGUGAAAACUCUGGGCUCAACCCAGAGAGGCCACUCGAUACUGCUAUGACUAGAGUACGGUAGGGGAGCGGGGAAUUCCUGGUGUAGCGGUGAAAUGCGCAGKUAUCAGGAGGAACACCCNAGGCGAAGGCGCCGCUCUGGGCCGUAACUGACGCUGAGGAGCGAAA